CUCCUUAACGCAGACGUUAGACACCUGGGUUAAGUGUCUUGCUCCAGGGUCCAGUGUUUGAACCCAUAACUUUGGGGAUAGUGGAGCAGGAGGUCUAGAAUCUUAACCACUGCUCUAGGCUGCUGCCUGGGAGGGUUAAUGUUUGUAAUUUUGUGAAUCACCAAUAGUACACCCAGCACAGCUGCUAGGGCAACAUAGAACAAUCAAAACUAUUAAUUAAAAAACAAAUUGAGGACAGAGAGGCUGCGUGCCCUGCCACAUUCUCUGCCGAGGUGAAUCCUUCAAACUGCAGAAUGUAAUGGAUCACUGGUCUGAAAUGUCCUCUUGUAACCUGCAUCCUGAGAUCACAGGAUGUCCUACCAGCAUUGCUACAGUAUGAAGGAGGGUCAGAGUCUCAAGAGCAGUGUCCCCUGUAGAGCUGUGGGAAACCCUCCCCCUGACACCCAGUGGUUGAUAGAGGGGCAAGAGCUUGAGCCUGAUGAGCCCCUGAGCAAGGGAGAUACAGGACAUUUCACCUUUGAGGCUGUAAACAUAGAAGAGUGGUAAAGCAUGGGAGCAAUAUUGUAAACUGUAAGUCUGCGCUUAAAUUCUCAGGCACAGCAUUUGUAGUUUUCAGAUGUCCUCCAAAACAGUCAGGUUAGAAAGAGAAGUACUGCAGCAAUGAUCAUGCAUGCGUUGUAUUUAAAAUGCAUUUGCUUCAACGCUGUAAAAAGUGGAGCAUGUGGUGUGUGACACUCAUUUACUCAUCUUCUUUAUUGCACAUUAGUCCUCUGUGACUGACAAUUUCAGACUCCUAAGACAAAUAGUUUUCUGUUACUUUUCAUGCAGAACUUUGUUUUAUCAUUUCAGUAAAGGAAACAACCCUUGACUUAGGGUUAGAUGUUUUUCACAGCAGCAGAGUGGACUGUGUGCAUUGUAAAACAAAUGCAUUUUCCAGACAGAUAUACUUUUCUUCAACAUCAGAAAUGGUGUCCAUUACCAUUCCUGCUGGAAUUCUGGUUGUUUUUUCCAGACCAACCUGCGUUUCUACGGUCAGAAGAAACUACACAAACUGUCCCCGGUAACAUAACAGUGUUGGUCUGCAGUGCUGAUGGUAACCCACCCCCAAGAUACAACUGGACUUAUUCUACAGCUGAUAAUGUUGCGUUAAAGUACACAGACAGAGGGUCCACUGUCACCAUCAAUGGAACCUCUACCAGCAAUAUUGGGAUAUACACCUGCUUCGCUACGAAUGAGGUGGGAGAAGCUCAGAAGACAUUUAAGGUGGAAUUUACUCCAGGAGGAAACAUUGGGAAGAAAAUCGGCAUUAUAAUUGGAGUUGUGUUGGUGUUACUGCUCAUAGGUGUCAUCUAUAAAUUUGGGAAUGCGUCAUCCCUAGUAAACUGUAGGCAGUUCCACUGACACUGCACAGAGCAACCUAUGGAAGUGACCCCAGCAAUCGUUAAAAUGGCUUUGAAGAAAGACCGGGACCACUUCUGAGACAUCUGAGCUGAGGAGACUGGCCUGACUCCAUGUGCUGCCUAGUUUCCACCAGCUGACUCCAGCCUGUUGGCUGAAGCUCAGGAAGGGACUGCUGUUUGUCUACUGCAAGGGUCGAGCUAAACAUUUCACUCUUAUUAGAAGCACAGUGAUACAGGGCAAAGAACAGCAUUGGAACAUGAUCAGAACAAGAGUAUUGAAAAAUUAACUUCUUUUCCAGUUUAAAUGUACCUACUGUACACUACAACUCAAUAAAUGUGUGAAUAAAUAA